UAUCGUUUUCCCUGUCUCGCUUUUGUAGCCGCUCAUCCUCUUCUUUCUCCGUUCCACCAAUCUUCCCAGUUUUCCUUAGAUCUCUCCGCUAUGGCGUCGAUCUGCGAAUUUUUGGCAGCCGAGCCUUGUAGAUCGGGUCAUGAUCUACGUAUCGGUGCUCAUAACUUGAGAGAUCGGACUUGUUUCGGUGUCGGGACCCCUGCUUGAAGGUGGAUCGUGUUCAUCACGCUGUCCAGUUGCGAGAUCCGGUUCAGAUCUGAUGCCUCCAAUUGAUGAUCUUACUCUAUUUAGGCUUGUGAGGUCUUUCAACCUUGUGCGUUGAUUCGGCGGAGAUUUUGAGGUUGGUAGCUACAGUCGUAUCGGAAGCGGGAGAUUCGGCAGCUGGAGAACAUGGUGAAUAUAUGCUUGUUUUUAAAUAUAAAAGGAUGUAUAAGAUGUUGGGACGACAUAGCCCUGGCUUUGGCUUUUUGCGGGGCUUGAGUCCUAGUUACAUCUUUGUCAUCCGACCUUUGCCAUGACAGGUGCGCUUGCAUGGCAGGUCACCCAUUCGUCAAUAAAAGUUCCGUUGUUGUUUUAGAGGGGAGAUCGCACGGGGGUUUGCCCGGGUUCUCCCCUCUCGUGUGUGUGCGCGCGCCUCGCUCCAUAUUUGUCCCUCUCUCUCUCUCCCACCACUUUAUACUCUUUACCCGCCUAACAUCUGGCAUGGUUCGUCUGCUCCGCAUACACACCUUCAUUUCACUGAUUUUCUAUGAAUCAUGGGCAUUCUGGAGUUUUCCAUCUUACAGAACAAAUUACAUGAUCAGCAGAUCCGGAGUCCAAUCAUACUAAUCUUUCCCAACUGCAUUCGCGGAGACAGGUAUCAUAUUGUUAUGUGGCAUAGGAUUAAUUUACUACUCUUAUUACAUCCAGUUAGAGCGUUAUUGGCAAAUUGCUUAAGGUUCCUUUUAUUUAGAUUCCAAUACCCAUAGAAUGCAUAUUGUAAUGUUGGAGGAAAGAAUAUGCAUUAGAUACUAUCUCAAAUCGACGCAUCAGCAUUCUGCGACGUACUAUCCAUCAUGUACUGAGAAUUGUCGAGUGGUCAAGAUAAUCUUGAGCGUUACAGCUUAUAUAAUUCACCAUGGAUUUUAUUACAAUAAUGCUGCAUUAUGAUCGUAGUUCUCAAUUAUGAUCCCUUCGUUUUAAUGAUUUGUUAUUUACAGCUUCUCUUUUUGUCAAAUAUAUGAUAGUUUCUGCAUUUUGCCGAUGUCAUAAUGAUGUAUCGUUUUGAUGUAUCGAACCCUGAAUACGUCCGAGGUGGGUUUUAUAGUUCGAUGUACAUUGUUUGGAAUUGUGUUUCAGUUGAGGUUAUUCUAAAAAUAUUAUUGUAGUACUUUGGGAAUUCUUGUCAGAAUGUCUAGAUAUCUGGCAUAUAAACCAUUGUGGAGCCCAGAAUUUGGGUACAUCAAAUGAAGGUUUUUUCGAGCUUGGGGGCCAAGGGGAACAAUGGUGCAGGGGAAGAAAUUUUGAAGAGGGGAGCAAUCAACUGCCAGAACUUAAAAGAGAGGCGCUGUUAUGUUUUGAAUGGUGACACCCUGAUUCGAAGUGAUUUGGUAUCAUUGUGUGUAUUCCUGGGCAUGCAAUGGCUCCAUAAUGCUGUUGGAGUGUUCCCAUGGUUGAAUUUCACCCACUGAUGGCUGAGGGCUUUGAUCUGGUGGUGGCUUCAUAAUGUUGACAGAUUUGAGUUGGCUUUUGUGUGGAACGUCCGGUAUUGGACGUUUGGGUUCUCGAACGAUCUAAUGGAUGUUCUUUCUUCCGUUAUGCGCCAGAUCCAAGUCUUGACUUUGCUGUCCGUCGCAAUCGAGGGGUAGAGAUUGGGUUGGAAACGGAUUUCCCGAGGUCUAUAUCGUUGCCAUGAGGCCAACGAUGGGGAAAUCUAAACCUAUGGUUUCCCUGUGUCGUAUUGGCGGGUUCCAGUAUUCGUUGAAGUUGAUGCUUAGUUAUGUUUGGUGUCGGAAUAAGUUAAUGACAUCAAAUGCAUAGAUUAAUGUUUGGUUUAGUAAGGAGGGGUUUUGGGUCCAGGUCAUUUUGUGUUUCGGUUUUGGUUUAGUUUGGUUACUUCGGUUUUAGAAAAAAAAAUAGUGAUUAAUUGGAUUCUAUAUCGUUGAGUAGAAAAUUUUGGUUUGUUUAUAUGGUUGGUUCCGGUUGUAUAUGAUUUGGGUAAGUCGAGGAAGA